GACGAACGCUGGCGGCGUGCUUAACACAUGCAAGUCGAACGGUGAAGCGCCUUCCUUUUUGGUGGGUGUGGAUGAGUGGCGAACGGGUGAGUAACACGUUAGUAACCUGCCCCCUUCUUCUGGAUAACCGCAUGAAAGUGUGGCUAAUACGGGAUAUUCUGGGUCUGUCGCAUGAUGGGUCUGGGAAAGAUAUUGUUUCGGUGGGGGAUGGGCUCGCGGCCUAUCAGCUUGUUGGUGGGGUGAUGGCCUACCAAGGCGGUGACGGGUAGCCGGCCUGAGAGGGUGGACGGUCACACUGGGACUGAGACACGGCCCAGACUCCUACGGGAGGCAGCAGUGGGGAAUAUUGCACAAUGGGCGCAAGCCUGAUGCAGCGACGCCGCGUGAGGGAUGGAGGCCUUCGGGUUGUGAACCUCUUUCGCCAGUGAAGCAGGCCUGCCUCGUUUGUGGGUGGGUUGACGGUAGCUGGAUAAGAAGCGCCGGCUAACUACGUG
rnacentral:rRNA from 1 species